AAAUCUGCAAUGACAAGGAAUAGUAAGCAGGGGAGAGCUUCAGAGAGCUGCCGGUUGGUGAAAGGCAGCAGCUUAUAACUGCCGAACUGACCUUAGAGCACCGGCAGGGAAACGUCAUUAUAUAAAGACGGAGUAGUUGGCGGCGGGUAUUCCCGUUAUAGAAUAUCGAGGGCAAGGCAGAUAGCUGCCUUGAAAUAGAGUGGUACCGCGAAGUCUUUUCGUCUCUAUA
rfam:Clostridiales bacterium KLE1615 genomic scaffold Scaffold737, whole genome shotgun sequence.